rnacentral:misc_RNA from 1 species
GAUCCCAAAUGUUCUCAUUGAUUGAUAGCGAUAUCAUAGAAGCAGCGACACGAAUUAAGAUUUAAAACCAACCCCAAGAAGGAUCGCAGAUCCAACUCCACCGAAUCGAUCCAAGAACUCCGCCUAAUCCAACCAAACCAUGGGCGAUCUCAUCUCACCAACACGACACGAACUCAUAAAAAGACUAACACCACCACCACCUCCUCCUUAUUUAGGGACUCGACGACUCAAGACGACUGAUACUGGCGAAAGGCGAAGGGGAACAGCACAGAUCUAGGAGAGCUGGCCGCAGUCGGCGAUGACGACCGGCUUGGCGGUGCUCCCGCCGCGGGAUCCCACCUUCUCGAUGGCCUUGACGACGUCCAUGCCCUCGACGACGCGGCCGAACACGACGUGCUUCCCGUCCAGCCAGCUGCAGGGCACGGUGCAGAUGAAGAACUGGGACCCGUUAGUGUUGGGCCCGGCGUUCGCCAUGGACAGGAUGCCGGGGCUGUCGUGCUUGAACUUGAACACCUCGUCGGCGAACUUCUCGCCGUAGAUCGACUCCCCUCCCGUGCCGUUGCCGCGGGUGAAGUCGCCGCCCUGGCACAUGAACUCCGGGAUCACGCGGUGGAAGGUGCUCCCCUUGUAGUGCAGCGGCUUGCCGCUCUUGCCCACGCCCUUCUCGCCGGUGCAGAGCGCGCGGAAGUUCUCCGCCGUCCGCGGCACGUCCUUCGCGUACAGCUCCAUCACGAUCCGCCCCGCCGGAGCUCCGCCGACGGUCAUGUCGAAGAACACCCUCGUGUUCGACAUCGCCGCCGCGCUAGGGUUUUGCGAAUUUCACAGAUGGGGAAUAUUUUUUCUUUUUGUUUGAUUUUUUUUUUU